rnacentral:rRNA from 1 species
CUGGAACUAAGCAUAUCAAUAAGCGGAGGAAAAGAAACUAACAAGGAUUCCCCUAGUACUGCGAGUGAAGCGGGAAAAGCUCAAAUUUAAAAUCUGGUGGUCUUUGGCCAUCCGAGUUGUAAUUUAGAGAAGCGUCUUCCGCGCUGGACCGUGCACAAGUCUCCUGGAAUGGAGCGUCAUAGAGGGUGAGAAUCCCGUCUUUGGCACGGACAAGCCAGGGCUUUUGUGAUGCGCUCUCGAAGAGUCGAGUUGUUUGSGAAUGCAGCUCAAAAUGGGUGGUGAACUCCAUCUAAAGCUAAAUAUUGGCGAGAGACCGAUAGCGAACAAGUAYCGUGAGGGAAAGAUGAAAAGCACUUUGGAAAGAGAGUGAAACAGUACGUGAAAUUGUUGAAAGGGAAACGCUUGAAGUCAGUCGCGUCGACCGAGACUCAGCCUCGCCUUGGCUUGGUGUAAUUCUCGGCUGACGGGUCAGCAUCAAUUUUGCCUCUUGGAUAAUGGCGAGGGAAAUGUGACACCUUUACGGUGUGUUAUAGUCUCUCGUCGCAUGCAAGGGUUGGGAUUGAGGAACUCAGCACGCGCCUUCGGGUGUCGGGGUUAUGCCCACGAUACGUGCUUAGGAUGUUGGCAUAAUGGCUUUAAACGACCCGUCUUGAAACACGGACCAAGGAGUCUAACAUGCCUGCGAGUGUUCGGGUGGAAAACCCGUGCGCGCAAUGAAAGUGAAAGUUGGGACCUCUGUCGUGGAGGGCAYCGACGCCCGGACCAGACCUUCUGUGACGGCUCUGCGGUAAAGCAUGUAUGUUAGGACCCGAAAGAUGGUGAACUAUGCCUGAAUAGGGUGAAGCCAGAGGAAACUCUGGUGGAGGCUCGUAGCGAUUCUGACGUGCAAAUCGAUCGUCAAAUUUGGGUAUAGGGGCGAAAGACUAAUCGAACCAUCUAAUAGCUGGUUCCUGCCGAAGUUCCCCUCAGGAAAGG